CCCAACCCAUCCACAUCCUGCCCAGAUUCAGAGAGAGACCUCUGCUCGCCUCCGAUGGAUGGACCUCGCCGCCGGCCAUGGCCUCCCCCACUCCUCCUCCUCCCCAUCACAGGGUAAGAGGGUUGAAUGAAUAACCCUGUCGGUCGGUCUUCGCACUGCCGGCAGCCACAUCUCCCACUCUGCACUCCACACUCCCCUUCACACAGGUCCCUAAAUCCCGCCGCCUCCGCCGCCGGCCAUAGCACAGCCUCGCCGUCCUCCCUCCACCGACAAACGCCCGCCUCUUUCAGUUCCACCCCGACGACCAUAGCAGCGCCAUCCCGCGGCCUCCUAACGCCGGAUCUGCCGCUCCCACCCCAGCGCCGCCGGCCGCCCCGACCCGGCGACCCCGGCUCAACUAGCCGCGCGAGCCAUGGAUGUGGCGACGGGGGCCAUGGAAAGCCUCCUCCCUAAGCUCGGGGAACUCCUCAUGGAGGAGUACAUGCUGCAUGCCAGAGUCAAGAAAGACGUCCAGCGUCUCCGCACAGAGCUGACCGUCAUGUACGCCACCCUCCGCGAGGUACGCGACGCACCGCGGGACCAGCUUGACGGGCAGGUCAAGCUUUGUGCCGACCGCAUCAGGGACCUCUCAAGUGUGAUGCUGCUCUUCCAGACGGCCCUGGGGGAGGGGGACACUUGAUUUCCUCGCCAGAUCUGGAUCCCAGGGACGACGUCGAGUCACUAUGCAAGGCGGUGGCCUGCGGGAAGGGGAACUGCAUGGUGACAGAAGUAUGUCAGAAGGAUUCCAGAUCCACCUUGCCUGAUCCUUGGGGAAGAUCCUGGUCAUGAUGAAGAUGCCAGUGACCAAGUGUUAGAAGACGAACACGAAGGGAUAACAACAAGAGGACCAUAAUUCACGUGUUCCUGUCAAGGAUUAAUUCCCAGUCCCUUUUUACAGUUCAUCAUCCAUUGCCGGGGAAGCUUUUGUCUAUACUUCUAUUAUUGAUUUAAAUGUCCCCUAUUCAUCUUGCUUAAUUAUAAUUUUUGGUCACAUGACAUUUUUUCAAGUGUGAUGCAUACAUGCAAGAAGUGUGGAAUUUUAAAAGUUAGUUCCUUGCACUAAAUCUCUAUUGAUACACUACUAAGUGUCUUAUUCCUUCAACAUAUGGUUAUACGUCUUACAUUCAUGUAUUAAGGUCCUCUCUCUUUUGUAUCAGCUACCCUAUAUGUCCUCAACAGUGACAUAUACAUGUCUCAAACUGCCAUGGAGAAAGAUUGAAGCAUGCAUACGGACUUGCUGGACAAGCUGUAUUUUUUGGUUGCCACGCGGAUGCUCUUUGGACUACGAUAUGGACUUGAAGCCAUUUGUUUUAGUGCCAAAUAUUACUUACUAAUGCCCGCAAAGUAUCAUUGUGUAUUAUAUUUGCUAUGGAGCUAUGUAUGUAUGGAUGCUAUGGAAC